rnacentral:rRNA from 1 species
CUACGUAGGGGUGCGAGCGUUGUCCGGAAUUAUUGGGCGUAAAGAGCUCGUAGGCGGUGUGUCGCGUCGGCCGUGAAAACCUGCAGCUUAACUGUGGGCGUGCGGGCGAUACGGGCAGACUGGAGUACUGCAGGGGAGACUGGAAUUCCUGGUGUAGCGGUGAAAUGCGCAGAUAUCAGGAGGAACACCGGUGGCGAAGGCGGGUCUCUGGGCCGUAACUGACGCUGAGGAGCGAAAGCAUGGGGAGCGAACAGG